rnacentral:lncRNA from 1 species
CCUCCCUGUCUCUGUUCAGACACCUGGAGCUGCUUGUGCUGCAUGGAGGGCUCAUGUGUGGACCCUGGUGCCUGUGCUCCUUGCCCUGUGGGACACUACCAGCCUGAGGGGGGACAGCAGCAGUGCCUGCCGUGUCCAAAGGGACGUUACGCCAACACUACGAGGAGCACCGUGUGCUCACCCUGCCUGCCUGGCCACUAUGCCAACGAGUCGGGGGCCGCAGCCUGCAGCGCGUGCCAGAAAGGUUAUUUUAGCUCACAGCAAAAUGCAGCUUCUUGUCUGCCUUGCCUGCCUGGAUCGUUCUGCAACACCACCAGCUGCACGCUGUGUCUGGCCUGUCCUGCUGGGCGUGAGGCUCCACGGGAGGCUGCUGAGGAGUGUACACUGUGCCGGGCAGGUACGUUCAAAGGUCUGGGUGAUGACACCUGCAAGCCCUGCGAGCCAGGGGAAUACCAACUGCAGCAGGGCCAGGAGAGCUGUGACCUGUGUCCAGAGAACCACUACUGCCCUGCAGAGCCCUUGUAGAGCAGUGGGGUUGCAAUUAGAGCACCAGGAGGCUGGCUUUGUUCCACCCUUGGCCUCAGUGAGUCAUCAGGGCACGGUGAGGGGAUGAGGUAUCCGUUAAUGAGGUACAGAAGUG